rnacentral:rRNA from 1 species
GUCUGGCCUGCCCACUGAAUGUAUUUUAAAGGGCCGCGGUAAUUUGACCGUGCGAAGGUAGCAUAAUCAAUAGUCUUUUAAUUGAAGGCUGGAAUGAAUGGUCGGACAAAGAGUAAGCUGUCUCUCUUGCAAAAAUUGAACUUUACUUUUAAGUGAAAAGGCUUAAAUAAAUUAAGGGGACGAUAAGACCCUAUAAAACUUUACAGUGUGUAUUAUAAUCUUUAAAUUACGUGUAAAAGAGAUUAUAGUCCUUCUGUUGUAUUGGGGCGAUAAAGAUAUAAGAAUAUGUAACUGUCAUUGAUAAAAAAUAAAUAUAUUUAGUGUAAUUGAUCCUUUAAUAGAGAUUAUAAGAUUAAGUUACUUUAGGGAUAACAGCGUAAUUUUCUCUGAGAGUUCUUAUCGACGAGAGUAGUUGCGACCUCGAUGUUGAAUUAAGGUUUCUUUCAAAUGUAGCAGUUUGGGGAGUAGGUCUGUUCGACCUU